GCUGAGACCAGAGUCACAUCUCGACACAGCUUUUGUCCUGGUGUGCUAGAGUUCUUGAAGAGAAUCUGCUGCUCUUGAUUCACUGGCAGGGGCUGUCAGUGCCCCCAUUAGUGCCCAGGUCAGUAACAUGC
rnacentral:snoRNA from 1 species